rnacentral:lncRNA from 1 species
UGUAAAAGUUCUUUUACACUUUAAUGUAUUUAAACUCAAACAAUAUACAUAUUUUGUUAACUACUAGUAUUUGGUGCAUCUUUCACACAGGAGGCAGCCCAUGAGAAAAGCCAGAAGUAUAAAGAAGGGAAAUUUGUCCUUGAAAGGUUCAUUUCUCUCUUUAAAAAUUAUUAUGUUCUUUAACAUUAACAUUUGCACAUUAAAGUGGUAUUCACAUUUUAUGCUGUUGAUCCUGUUUGUGAACAGAGAAAAAUUAUUAUGUUCAUUGGCAUUAACAUUUGCACCUUAAAAAUGGUAUUCACACUUUCAAUGUUCCCUAUAUAACAUUUAUAUGCUGUUGAUAAUGUUUGGGAACAAAUUGAUGGAGUUGACUCUGAGUUCUAUAUUGAUACUCGUCCAAGCAUGAGUGAUGCUGAGGACGCAUAACCUUGGUUUUCCGUCGUACCUAAUACAAAAAUGAUAAUUCUAUGGUUGUAUCUUGUCGAAGAUCUCAGCAAGUUUGUGGAUAUAGAAAAGAAGUUGUUUCUUUUAUAUGUCUAUCUCUAAUGGUGUGAUUUGGGUUUGUGGCUGUCAAUUCUGAUGGCGUAAAAUCUUGGAGCUUUCUUGCAAAUAAAUGAGGUGUAGCUAUAUUUUCUGCCUUGAGGCGUGAAUUGGAACCUAAAAUUUGGAGUUACUGCUAAGUUCUUGAGAUGCAUUUAAUCUAUGGAUACGCUAGUCAAGUGGUCUCAAACUAGCCUUACUCAUAACGGAAUUAGCAAUAAUGUUUUUUUUUAUCGUUUUAGGUAUUGAUCGAUUAAAGAGUAAACGUGAAAAAAAUAAAGAAG